rnacentral:lncRNA from 1 species
GCCUCUCUGCCUACUUGUGAUCUCUGCCUGUGAAAUAAAUAAAUAAAAUCUUAAAAAAAGAAAAAAAGAAAAACACAUACUGGCAACAGAUCUCUGGGGGAGAGGAUGAUACAUGGCCUUGAAGCGGAGCAGCAGGGGAUGCCCCGCUAGCUCAAGGCAGAACAUGGCCUGCUUCAUUUUUUCCAUUAUCUACCCCCCGCCCCAGCACCUGUGGCUAGUUAGAUGCGUUAAGAAAGAUCAGAUGUUGGCCAUUGGAUAAUUUGGACAAUAGUGCAAAAU